AAUGGAGUACAUAUGCAUAAAAUACAUACAGAAAAGUACAUACAUCAUGUACAUAUAGCUUGAUGUAUUUUCAGGAAUUACAUAGAAUAUUUUGGUACUGCCAGAAUUCCUCUUUUUCCCUUUUCCUCCAUAAUUCUUCCAAUUAUAUUAUUAUGACUUUUAGAAACAUAGAAUGGUUUUGCUUGUUUUGAAUUUUAUGUAAAUGACAUCAUACAGUAUAAAGUCUUUUGUGUCUAGCGUCUCUUACGCAACGUCAUGUCUAUGAUAUAUCCAAUUUAUUGAGUGUACUCAUUCUCAUUGUUGUAGAAUAUUUCAGUGUAUGAACACAUUACUGAUUACUUAUGCAUUCUACUUUUGAUGGGAAUUUGUAUAGUUCUCUUUUGGGAGUUACUAUUAAUUGCUGCUGCUAUGAAUAUUCAAGAACAUGUCUUUGUGUGAAUAUAUGUAUUCAUUGGAUGUAUACUUAGGAAUGGAAUUGCUGCAUCAUAAAAAUGGUUCAACCAACUUUAAUAGAUACAUCCAGAUAGUUUUCUAAAGUGGUUGUACCAAUUUACUAUACCACUAUCAGUAUUUGAGACAUAGAUUCUAUCAUUUACUCUGUUAUCCAAUUCUUCAGACAGUUAGGAUGAAUUUCUUUUACGCAAAUGUCCCCUGGGAAAAGGAUUUUUACAUGGCAAGCAGCAAGUCAGGUUAAAAGCAGACAACCUCUCAAGUGAAGUCUUCAAGGAAACGUCAUGUAUAACAAAGAAGAGAAUAAGUUUCAGAACAAAUGUUUUCCCCUCUGCACCAUCCAUCCUGUCCAGAAAGCUCAGGAAGCUCAGUGUGGACCAUCACCAAGCUAGGGUAAGUGUUGGCAUCGUCCCAUUGCAUGUCAUAGAUGGCGACUGCAGCCCCCUCCCUUCACUACAGGCAUAGCUCUCUCUUCCUUCCUCUCCUUACACUCCUGCUUCACUCCAUAUUAUUACCUUGUCUCUAUU
rnacentral:lncRNA from 1 species